GACGUAGGGCGCGAGCGUUGUCCGGAUUUAUUGGGCGUAAAGAGCUCGUAGGCGGCUUGUCGCGUCGGCUGUGAAAACCCGCGGCUCAACUGUGGGCGGGCAGCUGAUACGGGCAGGCUGGAGUUCGGUAGGGGAGACUGGAAUUCCUGGUGUAGCGGUGAAAUGCGCAGAUAUCAGGAAGAACACCCGUGGCGAAGGCGGCUCUCUGGUACGUGACUGACGCUGAGACGCGAAAGCGUGGGGAGCGAACAGG
rnacentral:rRNA from 1 species